AAAUCGUCUUGGAACGAGGCCUCCAGGUGCCCUCGAGCUCGCACUCGCAUCAGAUCCCUUCCAGGCCACCACGCCACACCACCAGAUCCCAUCGCCGCCGCCUCGCACUCGCAUCCCAUCGCCGCCGCCCGUGCAUUCUCGAUCGGAGAGGACGCUCCCUUCGCCGCCGCUGAGAUCCGAGAAGAGUCGCCCUUCGCCGUCGCCAAGAUCAUGUGCCUCUCUAAAGACCCCUCUCUCUCGCGACACCGCCUCCCUUACAAGGACGCCACGCCAUGGGUCUCCAUCGGUGCCACGACUGCCGCGGCCUCCCCACCUGCCGACGCUCUAGAUCCGACCGUAGUUGAUUCCCUGUACAUCAUCUCAAGGAGGAGGGGCGUGAGGCGGUUGCCGCCGCCGGUGGCUGCACUUGAAGGUCUCCGCCGCUUGCUCCAACCAGAUCCAGCCAGACCGUCCUGUGGUGGUCCACGUGCAUCUGGACGGACGCAACGGCUUUGCCUCCCCUGUCCCAUGUCUUCGUCCACCACACCAUCCCAUUGCGCUGCUGCUACCCGGGCUCACAUGACCCCGUGGAGGAAGGAGCUGCGCAAGGAAUCACUGCCAAAAGACUCGAGAUGAGUUUGGAGUGUCCUGGAUUCUAGGCCAUGUUCCGCAAGGACGAAACAACGCGAGCUAGCCGAGGGUUCAGAUUGACGUUCGCUUUGAUUCUCGUUGAUUCAUUGUUUUGACCGACCCAAGCAGCGUCGGCGCUCACGGAGGAGAACCUGAUGUUCCUAGAGGCCUGGCGCGCGGUCGAUCACACUUACUACGACAAGUCCUCCAACGGGUGGAGCUGGUUCAGCUUUGGAUCAGGACUAACCUCUAGCCAGGAAAGAACCUGAAUCCCAAGUCGACGGCCGCUGCGGUGCCCACGUCCGCGUCAUUAGUGCUGCUAAGGGGCACUUCACCCUAUUCGGCAUUAUCUUCUAUUCUUCCUACGGCUGCAAGAACCCUCACCUUGGCUAUGGCAGAUGCGACAGAUAAAGCAGGAGUCCAAUCAAGACAACUUGCAACUUUGGUGUUGUCACAUUGGAGUCCGUGCUGAGCAGCAAUGGGAGACUGUCGUUGAUGCCCGACCCAUGAUGCCGACGAAGGAAUGAGAGUCGAUGAGGAGUAGACGCCAUGGGUUUGUGAACUGGCCAAGCCACCAUUGUCCGUUUGGUAAUGUGACUUGCCCUGAUUUUGACGUCGUCUACCAACAUCCGACGAAGGGAACCCGUCCAGGUUUCCAUCUUGAUGUUAUAUUAUCAACCUUCAGCGAGCAGUGACAACGAACUCCAUCCCCCCACCACACCACACCCAUGUUUCAUUUGAUGUGCUUUAAGCCAUGUUUCAGCUUGUCUCGACCCAGCAUGUAUUUUUUGUUUCAGUUGUUGAGCUCUGCACUACAAAACUGAGAAAGACCCAUAACUUUUUACAGGAUCGUUUCUACAUACUACAAAUAGAGGGAAGUUGGCUUGUGCCUUACUAGAGACAGAUGAACCAAUAAAAUGAUUGGAAAGGCUCUUUCCAAGCAUAAGAGGAGCUUUUGAAGGGACUAAAGAACCGGAACCUCCCCUCCUCCCUCCCGCGACGCUCCCGCAGGCGUCCGGGGGGCAACCCUAGCACCGCCGCCGGUCCCCCCUCCUCCUCUCGCUCCCCCCUCGCGGCCGCCCGGGGGCGCGAGCGGGCAAAGCCCGCUCGUCGCUGGCGGCGGCGGGGCCUUCUCGUCUCCGCGUGUGGGGGUUUCUGUGAGGGCCGGACGCCUCUGACCAGAUGCGGCACUUGGCGCUGGCCGUGGCAGCUCGGCAGCGCGCCGACGUGGGCUGUCGGCGGCGCAUGCCAGCGAUGCGAUGGGCAGUGCGGUGGUGGUGCAGGUUGGAGGCUGGUGGUGGUGGCGGUGCGCCUUGAUCCGCCUCUGGCGCCGCGAGUUGCGGGCG